AACGAACGCUGGCGGCAUGCCUAACACAUGCAAGUCGAACGAGACCUUCGGGUCUAGUGGCGCACGGGUGCGUAACGCGUGGGAACCUGCCCUUAGGUUCGGAAUAACUCCCCGAAAGGGGUGCUAAUACCGGAUAAUGUCUUCGGACCAAAGAUUUAUCGCCUUUGGAUGGGCCCGCGUUGGAUUAGCUAGUUGGUAGGGUAAAAGCCUACCAAGGCGACGAUCCAUAGCUGGUCUGAGAGGAUGAUCAGCCACACUGGGACUGAGACACGGCCCAGACCCCUACGGGAGGCAGCAGUGGGGAAUAUUGGACAAUGGGCGAAAGCCUGAUCCAGCAAUGCCGCGUGAGUGAUGAAGGCCUUAGGGUUGCAAAGCUCUUUUACCCGGGAUGAUAAUGACAGUACCGGGAGAAUAAGCUCCGGCUAACUCCGUG
rnacentral:rRNA from 1 species